AAAGAAUACUCAUCACCACCAUUUAUUUGGAGGAAUUCCCUAGUUCUGAAGAUGUGGAGUGCAUACGUCAUUCAUAUAUGGAGAGUUGUGGAACUGACAUGCAGACUCCUGUCCCUGGCACAUACUUAAGAGUUGCCUUGAAUUCUGGAGUGUCCAUCAGCUGAAGAAUGGAAAGCCACAAGAAAAUGAAAAGAAAGAAUUUACAGAUAUUUCUUUAAGUAACUAGUGCAAGAAGAUAGGAGACUAGACAGCCUUUUUGAGGACUUCUGUGGAAAAGUCUGAGCCAACACUGAUACCAGGAGAUCUGGAAUGCUGUAGGUUGCCCUCUCCAUCAGGUUAACAGCUGCAGGAGGCCAGGAGUGGAUCAUUGGAAGUGCCCUAAGGGGAACACUUUUCUGCAAAGAGAGAGGAUGGGAG
rnacentral:lncRNA from 1 species